UUACGGCAACAUCAGUUUGAAACACCUGUUCCUAUGCGAGGACCAAAGUUAAGCAAUUCGAGUCUGGUCAGUACCUUGAUGGGUGACCGCUUGGAAAUACCAGGUAUUGUAA